rnacentral:lncRNA from 1 species
ACCCACUGUGUGGGACCAGUCAGUGCAGCCCUUCUGAUAGCAGGGUCUCAGAGUUUUUUAAAUCUUCUCCAUAGUUCCUAGGUCUGCAGGGUUAGACCACUCACAAGUACUUCCCACUGUCACCUCCAAAAGUCUGAUAGUUCAUUAUAAGCUCCCUGGUGGAAGCCUCUUUCUAAAUAAAUUAUUUUCAGAAAUGAGCUGAAAGCCACUCAUAUUAUACUAAGGAACAUCUGGUACCAUCCCUUAACAUCCUAGCCAUCCAUUCAGUUCCACUCUCUCUCAUGGAUGCAGUCAAUUGCUGUGACUUUUAAAAAAAGUUAGAUGGUGGGUUUGGUAUAUUGUUAGGACUAAGCCAGAGCCUCUGACCCACAGACUACUCUUAUUUUUAAAGAUAGUACCAAAGGACUUGAAAGGAUAUAGAGCUCAUUUAUUCAACAAACUUCUUAUUUUAAUACCAACAAUAUGCAAGCUAUAUAUGCAUGGGAUUAGGAAUAAAAAUGGUGAAAAAGGCACACUUUCAGCCUGACAAGUUCUGAGAUAUUUGGAGGACUAGGAAGUAGGUAUAGCUUUUCUCCAUAUGUUUUUCUUAGAGCAUGUAUGUAGACUGAAUCAUAGAAGGGUACUAAAUGUGUCAUAUUUACUCAGGAUAGAUAUGUAAACUAUUAUUGGUUGUAUUUUCUUUGAACAAAAGUCCAUGUAAUAUAGAUUGCAUUAAUAGGUUCUCAAUAAGAGAUUAUCGUAUAAAGUAAUAAUCAAGUGUUUUUAUGAAAUGAUCAUGCUCUAGUCCACUACCAUGGAAGUCAAAAUAGAAGGAGAACUGAGUAGCUGCAACUUCUGGUUGUCAUUUGGCAAACCGAUAGGAAGGAAACCAAUCUUGGAUAUUCCUCAGACUCCAGGCGUUUUAGAUUUGAGGGGCAACUCCACCAACAGAGAGGAACCAGCAGGAAAUUUCCACACUGGCCAACACAAUGAUAGAUUUUCAGUUACUCCUUUAAAAUUCAUCAUGUUGGCUGUUGGCAAGUGCUACAGAUGAGAUUGGGAAAACACUGCUGUCAACAGAAAAAGUACUUUCAUAUUUAUGCUUUUGACUCCAAAUGAAAUUUUGGUGGCUAACCUAAAAAUGAAUCAUAUUUACUUUAACAAUAUUGAUUUGCACAUUGUUGGGCACCCUAAAUUAUUAUAUGCCUUCAAUUUUCAAAUGUUUUUAAGUGGUUUGUAUAGUGUAGUAGAAAGAAAAUAGACAGUUAAGCCACUUAAGAACUUUUAAAAACCUCUUUAGCUUCCUAUUAUUAUUCUAUAAAUUGGAAUAAUAUCUAGUUCAUGAUAAUUAUAAAAUAAUGUGAAUAAAAUAGCUGGCACAUAAUAAGUAGUCAAUAAAUGUUGAUUAUUUGUAUUAAUUCAAUAUCUUACAUAUAAUAAAUUCUUGUAAAUAUUUUUUGAAUGAAAUUAAUAACAGCUGUUAUCAAACAUCAGGAAUAUUUUAUCAUUUAUAAUUAUUUUACUCAGUUCUUUUUCAUAGACUCAAUAUAUCACAUUUUUUCCUCUGUGAAUAUGUUAUCUUUUUUCUUAACAUCAGCCCUUUGGUGCCAUGAUGUGGAAGUCAUGGAAUAUCAUGUUUCUAAGACUAGGCUUCAUUGGCCAUUUGUCAAGGGAUAAUCCUUCCUUUAUCUGAGAAUGAAGUGGACAUAAAUCUUUUUUUUUUUUAAAUUCAAUGAAUCAUAUUAUAUUUAUGGUUGUAUAGCUAUUAUUACAAGGACAUAAAUCUUCUGUACACAAAAUUUGGGAUGUUUCCUUCCCAAAAGAUAAAUUAAAAAUAUUAAACAUGAGAGUAACAAAAACAGGAGAUAUUCCUCAUAUUUCUUCAUAUCUUGUCCUGUAUCAUGAUGAUUUUGUCAUCCAUACUAUUUUGAAAUAUUUCUGAUGGAGGAAAGAGAAAUGCGCAUUUCAGUGUUCCAAAUGUGACCAGAAAAGUUGCACUUGGAUAUUGUCACUAUCAUGUUUGGUAUGAAACAGGGAGGCAGAACACUUCAGCUCUAAGGAAGCAGUAACUGUGGACAAACCAUUCUUUGUCCUCUUUUACAAUUAGAUGUGGGUGGGGUUUCUUCACUGUUGGGAAAUUUGAAACAAUAAAAGGAAAGGACCUUCACAAGAAAGGGUGAGAUAACAGUAUGGGUAAUAUUUGAUUACUUCUUAGUAUUUGAGUGAAUAGAAAAUAAAAAAGGACUUAUCAAAAAGUUAUUUUGUUAUUUGUUUCUGGGAGUUCUGAAUCUUUUCUGUCUUGCUCUAUACAAAAACAAACAAACAAACAAACAAAAACCUGAUUAAUAACUUCUGGUCUAUGAAGAAGAGGUUCUCCUUGAUCAAUGGCCAGGCCAAGUAGUUCCUUAAGACAAUGUCAAACUUUUUUGGAUCUAAUUUUAUAUUCCUUCUAGCUUUCUUUCUUUUAGUCUUUUUUUUUUUUUUUUUUGUCUUUUUUUGCCAUUUCUUGGGCCGCUCCUGCAGCAUAUGGGAGGUUCCCAGGCUAGGGGUCUAAUCGGAGCUGUAGCUGCCAGCUAUGCCAGAGCCACAACAAUGUGGGAUCUGAGCCGUGUCUGCGACCUACACCACAGCUCACGGCAAUGCCGGAUCAUUAACCCACUGAGCAAGGGCAGGGAUCGAACCUGCAACCUCAUGGUUCCUAGUCGGAUUCGUUAACCACUGAGCCACGAAGGGAACUCCCAGCUUUCUUUCUUUAUAUAUGUUCAGUAGUUGCUUUUUUUGUUUGUUUGUUUUAAAAAUACUGUUUUUGUAUAAAGAAAAAGCCGUUACCUUUAAAUUCUAAUUUGCCUGAAUGGCAUUGGUCAAAAUUAAGAUAGCAUCAAGGAGGUUAGCUACCUGUUAAGAGGUCUCUGUUGUGAUGCAUUUGUACUGGUUUAGAUCAGGUUCUCCUUUUUGAAGGAGAAGAAACUUGAGCAUGGAUUAGGUUGUAUGAUAAUAAAAUGCUUAUAUGUGAGUAUUUUUGACCUACAAGACUGGCAGUUUCACAUAGUUCUACCCAAUUCACCCAAGGUGGAUUUCUGCCUCAGGGCAAAAAUCUGCCUGGUUCAUAGAGACUGACCAGGUAAUUCUCACAAGUAGUAAUGGCUACCAUAACUGUUAUGGCACACUGUGGCCAGAGGGAUAGGUCCAAAUCCUAGGUGGAUUUACACAAGAAAUCAAAUAGUAAGCCAGUCCUUAUUAAAUGUACAUUCUAUAUUCCAUCAAAAAAUGUAUGCAUCUCUUUUGAAGGAAAAAAAGAUUAUUAAAAAAACCUCUUAAAAUAUAUACAAUCUUAAAACUAAGUGUAAACCCUUUAGAUGUCUAAGACUUACAUAGCAAUGAAACAAAAAUACUGUAAAUUAAAUACGACAAAAAUACAAAACCAAUGCAAUUUAAAUGAACCCCAUUGAUUUCAUAGGACAGUUUUUUUUUUCUAACUAAAUCACAGAUUACAUUAUUAAUAUGGUACUGAUUUCAGUUGUGGAGAAUCUUGUGAGCCUGCAUGGGUAACUCUCCAUAGGCAUGUGUUCUCAAAAGUCAUUUCUACUGUGAAAUCUCCAUUCCUCCAGUGUACCGUAAUUCCAUUUAGUCUUCUCUUGGCAUGGCUAUAUCUUUAAACCAUUUAGACCCCCUCUGCUCUUUUGAAUAGAGACUGAGCAUCUCACAAUUAAAAACACCUUUUACUAGAGUUCCCUGGUAGUUUGGCAGGUUAAGGAUCUGAUGUUGCCACUGCUGU